rnacentral:rRNA from 1 species
GACGAACGCUGGCGGCGUGCUUAACACAUGCAAGUCGAGCGGUAAGGCUCCUUCGGGAGUACACGAGCGGCGAACGGGUGAGUAACACGUGAGUAAUCUGCCCUUCACUUCGGGAUAACCACCGGAAACGGUGGCUAAUACCGAAUACGACCAGUCUUCGCAUGAGGUGCUGGUGGAAAGUCUUUUCGGUGAAGGAUGUGCUCGCGGCCUAUCAGCUUGUUGGUGGGGUAAUGGCCUACCAAGGCUUCGACGGGUAGCCGGCCUGAGAGGGUGACCGGUCACACUGGGACUGAGACACGGCCCAGACUCCUACGGGAGGCAGCAGUGGGGAGUAUUGGACAAUGGGCGAAAGCCUGAUCCAGCAACGCCGCGUGAGGGAUGACGGCCUUCGGGUUGUAAACCUCUUUCAGUACCGACGAAGCGCCCUGUCGGGUGGUGACGGUAGGUACAGAAGAAGGACCGGCCAACUACGUG